rnacentral:rRNA from 1 species
UACAGAGGUCCCAAGCGUUGUUCGGAUUCAUUGGGCGUAAAGGGUGCGUAGGCGGCGCGGUAAGUCGGGUGUGAAAUCUCGGGGCUUAACUCCGAAACUGCAUUCGAUACUGCGGUGCUUGAGGACUGGAGAGGAGACUGGAAUUCAUGGUGUAGCAGUGAAAUGCGUAGAGAUCAUGAGGAAGACCAGUGGCGAAGGCGGGUCUCUGGACAGUUCCUGACACUGAGACACGAAGGCCAGGGGAGCAAACGGG